UCGGGUAUGGUGUAGCGGUAACAUCAGUGACUCUCAUCUGCUCGCUAGCCUGGGGUUCGACUCUCCAUAUCUGAG